rnacentral:rRNA from 1 species
GAUGAACGCUGGCGGCGUGCCUAAUACAUGCAAGUCGAGCGAACAGACGAGGAGCUUGCUCCUCUGACGUUAGCGGCGGACGGGUGAGUAACACGUGGAUAACCUACCUAUAAGACUGGGAUAACUUCGGGAAACCGGAGCUAAUACCGGAUAACAUGUUGAACCGCAUGGUUCAACAGUGAAAGACGGUUUUGCUGUCACUUAUAGAUGGAUCCGCGCCGCAUUAACUAGUUGGUAAGGUAACGGCUUACCAAGGCAACGAUGCGUAGCCGACCUGAGAGGGUGAUCGGCCACAAUGGAACUGAGACACGGUCCAGACUCCUACGGGAGGCAGCAGUAGGGAAUCUUCCGCAAUGGGCGAAAGCCUGACGGAGCAACGCCGCGUGAGUGAAGAAGGUCUUCGGAUCGUAAAACUCUGUUAUUAGGGAAGAACAAAUGUGUAAGUAACUAUGCACGUCUUGACGGUACCUAAUCAGAAAGCCACGGCUAACUACGUG